rnacentral:rRNA from 1 species
UGUGUAGGCGGUGUUCUAAGUCUGUUGUGAAAUCUCCCGGCUUAACUGGGAGGGUGCGGCGGAGACUGGAAUGCUAGAGUGUGGGAGAGGUAAGCGGAAUUCCUGGUGUAGCGGUGAAAUGCGUAGAUAUCAGGAGGAACACCUGUGGUGUAGACAGCUUACUGGACCACGACUGACGCUGAGACACGAAAGCGUGGUAGCAAACA